AUUGAACGCUGGCGGCAUGCCUAACACAUGCAAGUCGAACGGCAGCACGGCAGUAGCAAUACUGGUGGGUGGCGAGUGGCGGACGGGUGAGGAAUACGUCGGAAUCUGCCCAGUCGGUGGGGGAUAACUAGCCGAAAGGUUAGCUAAUACCGCAUACGACCGAGAGGUGGAAGGCGGGGGACCGCAAGGCCUCGCGCGAUUGGAUGAGCCGACGUCGGAUUAGCUAGUUGGAGGGGUAAAGGCCCACCAAGGCGACGAUCCGUAGCUGGUCUGAGAGGAUGAUCAGCCACACUGGAACUGAGACACGGUCCAGACUCCUACGGGAGGCAGCAGUGGGGAAUAUUGGACAAUGGGCGCAAGCCUGAUCCAGCAAUGCCGCGUGUGUGAAGAAGGCCUUCGGGUUGUAAAGCACUUUUAUCAGGAACGAAAAGCGUUGGAUUAAUACUCUGACGUGCUGACGGUACCUGAGGAAUAAGCACCGGCUAACUUCGUG
rnacentral:rRNA from 1 species